UUUGUUGCCACGCUGAAUUCCCGAAUGGGGAAGCGGGGGACCCAUACCUGGGGUGAAACGCAUUUGUCGCGUGGGGCGCCUUUCAGCCCUAACCCGUCAGCUAACCUCGCAAGCGUCAUGAAAGGAGUG
rnacentral:sRNA from 2 species